AGAAGAAACAAUGUUGGAAACUUGGUGGGGCCUAUGAGGGUGAUGGGUGGCCAAAUUUUCCAUGGAAAAUUAGGCAAAAGGCUGAAGGAAACUUCAAUGAAACUUCCCAUCAAUUUUCACUCUCCUUCCCCAUCCUUUUUCUUACGCAUAGAAGUCUGUUUGCUGUAAGUCUGCCUGCUGUAUUUUACACGGCAGUUUCCAUCUUUCCCUUUCUUCCUCUUAGUUUAUUCUUUUCCUUUGUCUCUUUCAACGUACAAACCGUUGCUUUCUCUUCCCUUAAACGUGAUACUUCCAUUUCUGCUCCCUCUUGAACGACCAAACUCCAUACUUAGUUUCCUCUACCGAAAAAUUUAUAAGUUUGUGUGUUGCUGUUGCCAUCAUACCACAUCACAAUCUUCUGCGGUUUCGGCUCAACACCAUCACCAAGAGGAUCAAGGCUGGUCUCUGUGUUUCUGUUCAACCACCAACGAGAGCCGCCGUUAGCUGUGUUUAGGUGAGUUGUCUUCUAAAUCUGGACUAGGGGUUGAGUACCUCUAUUAGGAAUUUGUACAAGUUAAAAAUAUGUAGAUGGCGUUAUAUAUGGAUAGAUGUUGGUUAGGGACGUUAUGAUAGACAUAGAAAAGCUUAGAUAAGGCUUAGAGAGCAAAACAAAAGUCGUGGUGGAAGAUUCGGACUAGAACAGUAGUAGAUUACUGAAACAGUUUCUAGAACGUGUAUGUUUUGCUAAUUUUGUAGACAACUUUGUGUUGCGAUUUUGAAAGGAUUUUGUUCUGAAGAAACGUUGUGAACAUAUUAAAUAAUAACAUAUAUUUUUCUCUUAAUUUUUAGAAAUUAAAAAGAUGACGAUUUUAAUGACGUCAUCCUUGGAACAGUAAUCGGACAGUUUUGUAAUCCGUGACCUAUUAUGAUUCUGAGGGCUGUUAAUGACCUUUAGAGGUCGAAUUUCCAAUUGGUUCCUUCAUGAAAGUUGUUUUUUAUAACUUUUAGUUUAACAUACUUAAAUUUCAAGUCAAACGAAGCAGAUUUCGACCCAAAAACGAACUGAUUUCGAUAGGUUUGGCUCUCUGGAACUGGACCCGAUUUUUGUGCUGGAUAGAAAUAAUUUCUGGGCCGAAUCCAGAGGGAUCUGGAUCUCGGUGUCUUCAUGAAAAAUGUUUGUUUAUAUGUUUUCUAGCACGUAUCCGAAUUUGAUAAUUUUUCGAAUCGUAUGGAUGACUUUCUGACUUCGAAAUUGGAAGAGCGUUAUUGGGCAGUUCUCUGUCAAUUUGGAUGAAUAAGAAUAUAUACUUGUUUUGAAGAAUUCUUGCUAUGAAAGUGCUCAAUUGAUGUUGUGGAUGCUGUAUAUAAUUGAUUAUUGAAAUGUGAAAUUGAUCAUAUGCAUUCACAACAUGAGAUUCCGCCACGAGCCUUUGAGGCCGGGCGAUGCUCCUUCGAGAAUGCCCCACGUCAACGGAUGCCGGUCGCAGUGGAGGCUGGACCGAUGCUCCUUAAUUGGAAUGCCGUCUAGAUGUAGACGUUGCCGCGCUCAACGGUGUGAGGCGAUGCCCGGUUAUGCCGGAAGACUGUUAUAUGAGCAUUGACAUCAUUUAUGACAUAUGAGAUGCCCGGUUUUGCCGGAAGACUGUUAUCUGUUACAUUGACUAUGGCCUGUAUGCUUACAUGGAUAUUCACACCUUGCAUAUGCUUAUGUUAAAGUAUUCCUGUGAUGUGUGAACUUGAUACUGUUAGGAAUAUUUUAUUUGAUGCUAAUAUGCAGGAACUUGCUGGUGUUAAAAGAGUGGUAAGAAAUGUGAUUAGAUUGCAUGCUGGAUGUACCCUUCACCUAAUCUGGAAUUAGGAGAUUUACUUGAUGAGAUGUGAUCUCACCCCUUAGUGGGCUAACAUUUUUCAGGUCCAUAAAUGGAGGAAGGCUAGAUCGUGUACAGUUGGUCGCAGUAAAGGAGGAAUAGGACUCUCGCUAUCUCCUUCCAAGUGAUGACGGGUUUUCCGUCAAGACUGGAUGUAGGGUGACAGCUCACCCCCGAGAUAUUGAGAAGUAUGGUAUUGUAAUAGUAAACCCCAAUUUUAUAAAUAGAAGCUUAGUUAGUGGUUAAUCGAAUAGCUUCACUUUUGUAUCAAACCUUGGGGUGUUAAACUGGUCUAUUUACAUAGAUAUGAUAAUGUUGUAGUUGUGGUUAGUGAAAAAUAAUAUCCUACGUUUCUAUCCCACUGUUUUGUUGUAUGGAGAUUGUUUACGUUUCCGCAUGUGCAAAAUAAAUGAAUGGGUCGGCAACAAUUCCUAGGAUGUUGCAAAUUUAAAAUCGACCAUUGAGGGAUGUGCAUGUGCCUGGGGUUCGGGUCGUGACAAUGGAUGUCAUCAACCUCUAUCUACACCUGUGGAC
rnacentral:lncRNA from 1 species